AACGAACGCUGGCGGCAUGCCUAACACAUGCAAGUCGAACGAGACCUUCGGGUCUAGUGGCGCACGGGUGCGUAACGCGUGGGAAUCUGCCCUUGGGUUCGGAAUACCAGUUGGAAACGACUGCUAAUACCGGAUGAUGACGUAAGUCCAAAGAUUUAUCGCCCAAGGAUGAGCCCGCGUAGGAUUAGCUAGUUGGUGAGGUAAAGGCUCACCAAGGCGACGAUCCUUAGCUGGUCUGAGAGGAUGAUCAGCCACACUGGGACUGAGACACGGCCCAGACUCCUACGGGAGGCAGCAGUGGGGGAUAUUGGACAAUGGGCGAAAGCCUGAUCCAGCAAGGCCGCGUGAGUGAUGAAGGCCGUAGGGUUGUAAAGCUCUUUUACCCGGGAUGAUAAUGACAGUACCGGGAGAAUAAGCUCCGGCUAACUCCGUG
rnacentral:rRNA from 1 species